rnacentral:rRNA from 1 species
UACGGAGGGGGCUAGCGUUGUUCGGAAUUACUGGGCGUAAAGCGCGCGUAGGCGGAUUGUUAAGUCGGGGGUGAAAUCCCGGGGCUCAACCCCGGAACUGCCUUCGAUACUGGCAAUCUGGAGUUCGAGAGAGGUGAGUGGAAUUCCGAGUGUAGAGGUGAAAUUCGUAGAUAUUCGGAGGAACACCAGUGGCGAAGGCGGCUCACUGGCUCGAUACUGACGCUGAGGUGCGAAAGCGUGGGGAGCAAACAGG